rnacentral:lncRNA from 13 species
UAGACAGAAUGGAGAGAACAGCAGGAGGUAUUUGAAUGUUACCUAAAGGUUCAAGCUUUUCUGAGAUUACAACAUACCUCCUCCUACAAAAAAGUUCUCCUGGAGCUUCCAUGAAGAUACAGUCUGCACUGCCUGCAGACAUGGACACCAAGACUUUAAACAUGGGUGAUAUCCACAGAGGUCACUUGUGUCUUGCUGCUUUGCUGAUGGUUUGUGGGUCCCUGACCAUGUGCUGUCAGCAUCAGGGCAGAGUUGGAGAAACUGAUUUUUUUACCAAGGCUUUGACUGGAAGGGUAUGCUUCCCUUUAAGGAAUCAAGCUCAACUUGCAGAGCCAAUAAAAGCCUCUUGGGAAAACUGGCUUCAUACCUUGUCUACACAGUCCCCCUACAGUGCUUCUAAACUGUGGAUACUGUGUGGAAAUCCAUUUGCCAUGCUAUGAGAACACACAAGCAGCCUUUAUGAAUAUAUUGUAGAGGUGAAGAAUGCAGCCUUUCUGAAGACAGACAGCAAGGAACAGAGACCUUCUGCCAACGGCCAUCUUAGAAUUGGAUCCUCCAAUUUCUAUCAAGCCCCCGGAUGAUGACAGACCUGGCCAACCAAUUAAUGAGACCUUAGGAGGACUUUAAGCCAUAACUAUUUAAUACUUAACUAAACUAAAGUAAGCUAAACCAUCCCCAGAUUCCCGAAAUAUGUAAGCCUGUGAGAAAUUUAAUAAAUCCAUCAAUAAAUAUUAAUGUUUUCUUAAG